CAGUAGCCGCGGGAAUACGUAGGGUGCAAGCGUUAAUCGGAAUUACUGGGCGUAAAGCGUGCGCAGGCGGUUAUAUAAGACAGAUGUGAAAUCCCCGGGCUCAACCUGGGAACUGCAUUUGUGACUGUAUAGCUAGAGUACGGCAGAGGGGGAUGGAAUUCCGCGUGUAGCAGUGAAAUGCGUAGAUAUGCGGAGGAACACCGAUGGCGAAGGCAAUCCCCUGGGCCUGUACUGACGCUCAUGCACGAAAGCGUGGGGAGCAAACAGGAUUAGAUACACCAGUAGUCCCUGUCUCUUAUAC
rnacentral:rRNA from 1 species